UACGUAGGGGGCAAGCGUUGUCCGGAUUUAUUGGGCGUAAAGCGCGCGUAGGCGGCCGAGUGUGUCGUGCGUGAAAUCUCCCGGCUUAACUGGGAGGGGCCGUGCGAAACUGCUCAGCUUGAGGUCGGAAGGGGAAAGUGGAAUUCCGGGUGUAGUGGUGGAAUACGUAGAUAUCCGGAGGAACACCAGCGGCGAAGGCGGCUUUCUGGUCCGAUUCUGACGCUGAGGCGCGAAAGCGUGGGGAGCGAUCCGG
rnacentral:rRNA from 1 species